UACGGAGGAUCCAAGCGUUAUCCGGAUUUAUUGGGUUUAAAGGGUGCGUAGGCGGAUUGAUAAGUUAGAGGUGAAAUGUCCGAGCUCAACUCGGGAACUGCCUCUAAUACUGUUGAUCUAGAGAGUAGAUGCGGUAGGCGGAAUGUAUGGUGUAGCGGUGAAAUGCUUAGAGAUCAUACAGAACGCCGAUUGCGAAGGCAGCUUACCAAUCUAUAUCUGACGUUGAGGCACGAAAGCGUGGGGAGCAAACAGG
rnacentral:rRNA from 1 species